GCGAGUCUGAUUCCGCUCGUUCCCAGGACCCGUGGUCUUCAAGCUCCGCGAGGCCACCGCUACGGUUUAUAGGACCCCAGGCAUUGGCUGGCGCUACUAGUGUGUGUCUAAGAAGACUGAGACCUAGAAAAGUGGUAAUGACUUACCCAAAGCCAUGGAACUUGAUGCAUCCAUUCCCAUCUGUGCCCUGAGCACGAUGCUGUGAAUAUGGCAGGUGUCCAACAGAUGUUUGCUGCUGAGGUUGGAAAAUAGAGGCCCCGGCAUAGAAGAAGGGCUUUGACUGCUUGUGUUCCAGCCUGUGUACCUGGGAUUACAGGUAUGUUCUGCUCUACCUGGCAGGAUAUGACCGUCACACAAUGCCAGAACUUACAUGGGACCAUCUCAACUACCCUCAAGGUUGACUCAACUGUCUCCUGGUCCUGCUUCUGUUUCUAAAUGAGAAAAGCAGAUUGGUUCCGCUUUGGUUAGAGGUUUGCCCUGGGCCCGAUUGGCUGUGGUCGGACCAGUUGGCACCAUAGAGCACAGACAAAGAGAACAGGGUGGGGCGGAAGAAGGGGUAUGAGUCACAAAGGCAAACGUGUGUAUCUAUUAAAAAUGUUGAAUAGAAUAUACACACACUGAUAUGAAAAGAAAGGCAAGCCCAGUUGGUGAGGCUCAGUGGUUGAGCAUUGAUCUCUGUCAUCAUUGAUGUUUCUAUCUCUCCCUCUCCCUUCCUCUCUCUGAAAAAUCAAUAAAAACAU